GGCAAGAGCACAUGUGAGAGAGGUGAGCA
rnacentral:piRNA from 1 species